rnacentral:rRNA from 1 species
GGGGUAGCAAUAUCCCGGACUGAGUGGCGAAAGGGGCAGUAAGGCGUGGGUAACCUACCUCUGGGACGGGGAUAGCCUUCCUAACGGGAGGGUAAUACCCGGCGACGUAGUCGCGGGGCAUCUCGUGGCUACCAAAUGAAUUUCGCCCGGAGAGGGGCUCACGUGCUAUUAGCUUGUUGGCGGGGUGACGGCCCACCAAGGCAAAGAUGGCUAGCGGGUGUGAGAGCACGACCCGCGCCACUGGCACUGAGACACUGGCCAGACUCCUACGGGAGGCUGCAGUCGAGGAUCUUCGGCAAUGGGCGCAAGCCUGACCGAGCGACGCCGCGUGCGCGAUGAAGGCCUUCGGGUUGUAAAGCGCUGUCGAGGGGGAGGAAGCCGCAAGGUUGACCUAUCCCUGGAGGAAGGACGGGCUAAGUUCGUGCCAGCAGCCGCGGUAAGACGAACCGUCCUAACGUUGUUCGGAAUCACUGGGCUUAAAGGGCGCGUAGGCGGGCUCUCAAGUCCGGGGUGAAAUCUUUCGGCUCAACCGGAAAAUAGCCUUGGAUACUGGGAGUCUCGAGGGAGGUAGGGGCGGGUGGAACUUCCGGUGGAGCGGUGAAAUGCGUUGAUAUCGGAAGGAACGCCGGUGGCGAAAGCGACCCGCUGGACCUCUUCUGACGCUGAGGCGCGAAAGCCAGGGGAGCAAACGGGAUUAGAUACCCCGGUAGUCCUGGCCCUAAACGAUGGGUACUAGAUAGCGGACUAGACAUGGGUUCGCUGUCGAAGCAAAAGUGCUAAGUACCCCGCCUGGGGAGUAUGGUCGCAAGGCUGAAACUC